GGGGAAAGGAGAGGUUUGGGGAUGCUCUGCUUCAGCUGUGGGGCCACAGAAGGCAGGACUCAGGGAUGGACUCCACCAUGGCCUGGUCCCCUCUCCUGCUCAGCCUCCUGGCUCACUGCACAGGGUCCUGGGCCCAGGCUGUGCUGACUCAGCCGCCCUCAGUGUCUGGGAACCCAGGACAGACCAUCAGCAUCUCCUGCACUGGAAGCAGCAUCAACAUUGGGAAUGGUUACUAUGUGGGCUGGUACCAACAGCUCCCAGGAAAACCCCCUAAAACCGUCAUCUAUGAUACUAGCAGUAGACCCUCGGGGAUCCCCGACCGCUUCUCUGGAUCCAGGUCUGGCAGCGUCGGCACCCUGACCAUCAGUGGGCUCCAGGCUGAGGACGAGGCCGACUAUUACUGCCAGUCCUAUGACAGCAGUGGCAGUGGGUGGGUGUUCAUUCCUUUAUUUAGAUUACCUGUUCUAUUUUGA